GCUGACGACCGGCGAACGGGUGCGUAACGCGUAUAGAAUCUGCCUUGUACAGGAGGAUAGCCUUUAGAAAUGAAGAUUAAUACUCCAUAAUGUUGAGAGAUGGCAUCAUCUUUUAAUUAAAGAUUUAUCGGUACAAGAUGACUAUGCGUCCUAUUAGCUAGAUGGUAAGGUAACGGCUUACCAUGGCAACGAUAGGUAGGGGGUCUGAGAGGAUUAUCCCCCACACUGGUACUGAGACACGGACCAGACUCCUACGGGAGGCAGCAGUGAGGAAUAUUGGUCAAUGGAGGCAACUCUGAACCAGCCAUGCCGCGUGCAGGAAGACUGCCCUAUGGGUUGUAAACUGCUUUUAUACAGGAAGAAACUUAGUUACGUGUAACUAACUGACGGUACUGUAAGAAUAAGCACCGGCUAACUCCGUGCCAGCAGCCGCGGUAAUACGGAGGGUGCAAGCGUUAUCCGGAAUCAUUGGGUUUAAAGGGUCCGCAGGCGGUCAAUUAAGUCAGAGGUGAAAUCCCAUAGCUUAACUAUGGAACUGCCUUUGAUACUGGUUGACUUGAGUUAUAC
rnacentral:rRNA from 1 species